rnacentral:rRNA from 1 species
AUUGAACGCUGGCGGCAGGCCUAACACAUGCAAGUCGAGCGGUAGAGAGGUGCUUGCAUCUCUUGAGAGCGGCGGACGGGUGAGUAAUGCCUAGGAAUCUGCCUAGUGGUGGGGGAUAACGUUCGGAAACGGACGCUAAUACCGCAUACGUCCUACGGGAGAAAGCGGGGGAGUCUUCGGACCUCGCGCCAUUAGAUGAGCCUAGGUCGGAUUAGCUAGUUGGUGAGGUAAUGGCUCACCAAGGCGACGAUCCGUAACUGGUCUGAGAGGAUGAUCAGUCACACUGGAACUGAGACACGGUCCAGACUCCUACGGGAGGCAGCAGUGGGGAAUAUUGGACAAUGGGCGAAGCCUGAUCCAGCCAUGCCGCGUGUGUGAAGAAGGUCUUCGGAUUGUAAAGCACUUUAAGUUUGGGGAGGAAGGGUAGUAACCUAAUACGUUGCUACUUUCGUACGUUACCGACAGAAUAAGCACCGG